CUAGGGCCGCUCCCGUGGCAUAUGGAGGUUCCCAGGCUAGGGGUCCAAUCUGAGCUGUAUCCACCGGCCCACACCACAGCCACAGCAACACGGGAUCUGAGCCAUGUCUGCAACCUACACCACAGCUCAUGGCAAUGCCAGAUCCAUGGCAAGGCCAGGAAUCAAACCCGCCACCUCAUGGUUCCUAGUCAGAUUCAUUUGGUGUGAUGUCCUUUUUGCAGACAAUAGAGUUGUAGCCUCUCUUACUUCUGAUGUCAGCCACCUUUGUGGCUGAAGUUGUUAAGGGGCUUGCUGUAGGCUUCCUGAUGGGAAAGACUGGUGUCUGCCCACUGGUAGGUGGGGCUUUGUCUCUGGGUCAUAUUGGAGGUGGCUAUGUGCCUGGGGGGGUCUUUAAGCAGCCUGUUUACUGAUAGGUGGGGCUAGAUUUUCCCGAAAUGGCCACCUCCAGAGAAACACACACUGAUGAAUAUUCUGGAGAGCUUUGCCUCCAAUGUCUUUCCCCCACAAUGAGCCACGUUCACCCUGUUUUCCCAGGAAUCCUCCAAGAACUGCAGCCAGGUUUGACCCAGAUUCCUAUGGAGCCUUUGCUUUGCCCUGGUACCAAGUGAACAUGAAAGUCUUUGUGCACCUUUCAAGAAUGGGGUCUCCAUUUCCCCCAGUCCCAUGGAGCUCCUGCACACAAGCCCCACUGGCCUUCAAUGCCAGAUGCUCCAGAGCUCUUUCUCCCAAUGCCAGAUCCCCAGGCAUGGGAACUUGACGUGGGGCUCAGAACUUUCACUUAGGUAGGUGAGUCUCUAUGAUACAGUUACUUUCCAGUCUGGCCCUCCCACCUGGGAGGUAUGUGGUUGCUUAUAUUACAUAACCACCCCUCCUACCUCUUGAUGUGGCCUCCUCUUUGUCUUCUGGAGUAGGAUAUCUUUUUGAAAGUUUCCAGUCCAUUUUGUUGAAGGUUGUUCAGCAUUUUGUUGUAAUAUUGUUGUUUUUAUUAGAGAAACUGAGCUCCAGUCCUUCUAUUCCUCCAUCUUAAUCCUGUCUCCCUAAAGUUGAUGCCCUUCUCAAAGACAGGCUCAAAUUUUGUUUACAUAUUUCAUCCCUUAUAGAUGAGCUAUGUUAUUCUGUUUCCAUAUACAUAAGUAUUAUUUUAUCAAAAUUUAUAAUCUGCUUUACAGUCAUCAUUCUCAUAACUAGUCAGUAUUGACUUUAUAUUUAACAUGGCUUCUCCAUUCCUGAGUUCCUUAUUUUUUUAUUUAUUUUUUUGCCUGUCAUUUUUAGGGAUGCACCCAUGGCAUAUGGAGGUUCCCAGGCUAGGGGUCCAAUCGGAGCGAGCGACAGUCACUGGUUUAUGCCACAGCCACAGCAACGCCAGAUCUGAGCCAUGUCUGCAACCUACACCACAGCCCACAGCAAUGCUGGAUUCUCUCUCCUAACGGCAAUCUUUCUUAAAUUUGUUCAUGAUUAUGAAAGCUGUCAGUGGCCCUAAAUAUUCAACCAUAUUUAGGCAUAAUUUCUUCUUUAGAUAUUGUAGCAACCACUCCAUUAUCUUUUGCUAUUGAAUAUUGCUGUGGAAAAACACGAGGAGAGGAUUUUUGUCCCCUCUUCUCUGUAAAUCGAUGGUUCCUAAAGUAUGGUCCCUGGAUCAGCAGCAUUAACAUCACUUGGGAAUUUGUUAAAAUGAAAAAUUUAAUUUCCCAUUUUAUAUCUACUGAAUUAGGAACUUGGGGGUAUAGAAUCCAGUCAUCUGUUUUAACAAACCAUCCAGGUGCUUCUAGUGCAUGCUAAAGUUCAAGAACUGAUUAAAUAUUUACUUUUUCUGCCUGAAUACUUGAAAGAUUUCUUACAUUGAAAUUUAAUAAACUUGGAGUUCCCAUCAUGGCACAGUGGAAACAAAUCCAACUAGGAACCGUGAGUUUGUGGGUUCGAUCCCUGGCCUUGCUCAGGGGGUUAAGGAUCCGGCAUUGCUAUGAGCUGUGGUGGAGGUCACAGAUGCAGCUUGGAUCUCUAGUUGCUGUGGCUGUGGUAUAGGCCAGAGGCUACAGCUCUGAUUAAACCCCUAGCCUGGGAACCUCCAUAUGCUGUGGGUGUGACAAAAAAAAAAAAAAAAAAAAAAGAAAAGAAAUUUAAUAACCUAAUCCAAGAUAUCUUGGAUAGUUUUUAAUUUAUGCCUGUUGUCUUAGCGUACUUAUUAAUAGUGUCCCAUUUUACUCUCCCAGCAUACUCCUAGCAUAAUUAUUAUUCACGCCCUUUUUAUUCUCAAGACUGUCCUAGUUUGAAUGAUAGCUUAGACCCUAUUUAUGACCAGUGAGUCCAGUGAUUUGCAAAAUACCUAUGACUAAUAAAAAUGCUACAUGGACUCUGAAAGCCCUAAUAGCAGAUUCAGAGUAGAGGCCCAUAGGAUUUUGAAAAAAUUCAUGCAAAUAUUUCAAAAAUAUUUUUCAGAAUUAUUUAUGAAAAAUAACUAUCACUAUUUUGAGAGAUAGCUCUUGGCCUGCUUUUGGGCUGUGGUCAAGAUUUUAACACUCCAUCAACUAGAACACCAGGUGACCCAAGUGAAUUGGGUGUCUGAUAUACCAAGCCAUAGUGUCAGGCAUGCCUCGCAAUACUCCUACAUCAUGUGAUAUAUUGGGCACUGGGCUUGAGCAAGUAUAAAUUGGAUGAGCAGGUGGCUCUCACUCUUGGUGUGCUUUUCCCAUUGCAUUGCCAUCCUGCUCUUUCUAUACUUAAGCCACAUGGAGGGCUCUCUAUGGCCAGCUGACUGAAGAAAAAAAAGCCUAAGCCUAGUUUAUAAAUGACUCCAUGACAGCUGGAGAUGACUUCUGAAAUGCAGCAGCCCCACCAAGGAGUGGCCCUUCAGUAAAAGAAUAGAAAAUUCCAUCCAGUAGGCAGAAUUUUAAACAGAACAUCUCAUUGCUUGUUUUGCCCACAAGAGUUGUGGACUAGCUCUAUAAUUAGGCAUAGACAGGGGCUUAGAAUUUGGCAGGACAGUUGGGGACAUGAAAGGAAUGAGAUAGAAAGACUGGUAACAAAAUGGGCCGGAGAAAGAGGUAUAUGAAGGGAUCUCUCAAUGAACUCAGAGUGUGAGACUAUCUGUGUCCUAUGUAAAUGCUCACCAAAGUGCCUUUACUCGAGAAAAAUUUUUCUUUACCCAGGUAAGCAUGAAGACCUUCCUGAUUUCAGUGCUAGAGACCCUAUUAUCAAUUAUUCAGUGCCAAAUAUUCCCGUGGGUCAAACCAUUAUUACCCACACCAGCCCUUCUACCUCAUAAAAUAUCCAGCCCAAGUUAUUUAGGGUAAUGUGGCGCUGCUUAUCUGCCACCCCAAGCUGUCAUUAUCCUAAUUGAAAUCAUAGCGUCUAUUUCAAUAUCAGUAUUUUCCACUUUCCUCUCUGAUCUGCAGAAGACAGCCACUGUGGUGCUUUUCAAGUAUGUUGGUAAUACCUUCAUUAAUGCAUUUCUCAAUAUCCUUCUGACAGCCAUGUCCUUGGGGCUUGGAUGACUGAGAGGGUAAGACAGAACAAAUCCACUCUGGCAUUCUCAUCUCCCUAAAUCUUUCCAUUACUUCCUCCAUGAGGAAUUUCUGGCAUCUCAACUCAGCAUAGGCCGGAAGUGAAUCCAAUUUUCAGUCUACAAAAAGAUAAAAUAAUUAGAACUCUACCAACUGCAUGUGAUAGCACACUGAAUGCAGAAUCUCUGGUAAGUGAACCUACAUAAUAAUUUAAACCCUACUGAAAUUCUUUUCCUCCAUCUCUGGUGUAGUACCCUCAUAAUUCAGUUACAUGUCUAUUCCUUCAGAUUUUUGUUGAUAAACAUUAAUGAUCCUGAAUUUCACUGAGUAAUUGGCCCCACAGGCAUUUUAGGAUCUGCCUCUAGUUGUAGAGGUGUAGGCAUUGAGGAAAGUUGGGUAGGGCAUGAGGAAAAUUAGCACUCACUUGCUGGUAAUCAUUCAAGUAUGAUCAUUACAUGGUCUUCAAGCAAGGCAGGCACCAUCAAUCAGGGGCCAAGGAGCUGCUUCCACUGGCAAUGGAGGCUUGGUGGCAUUUUCAGUUAACAGAUUUCUGGAGUCAUCUGAAUUCUUCUAGGAUGACCAUUCCAAUUCCUGGGUCCCCCACAUUCCUAAUAUCCUGUCCCCUUACCUUUCUCACUUUUCCCUGAUGUUUGUCCUCUUGUCAGUUUUUGACUCUUUCUGAAGCUCUCUUUAUCUCAUUUUUCAAGCUGUGUGUCCUCAUAUUUCAACUUUUCGCUCUGUAUUUGCUCAUCUAUACCUGAGCUGACCACCUUCUUUUUAAGAAUUCUAAUCUGUAACUUUCGCUUACACAAAAGUUGACAUACUGUCACCACCCCUGCCCCCCAACAACUUACACACCCUUCUUUGAGUGUCUUACCUCAUCUGACUCUGAACCUUUAUCUUAAUUCUAAAUUCUUAAGAGACUCUGAUGAGCCCUCUUUGGGCCAAUGUCUGCCCUUAAUCCAAUCUCCAAGGAUGGCAGAGCCACUUAAUACCUAGGGCUUCCCCUCUUCUGGGUUGUGGUUGCUGAGAUUCUCUAAGAGAAAGGUUUGGGCAGAGAGGAUCCUAUAGAGAAUAUAAAAGAAGAUAUGAUCCUUGUCUUUAGGUAUUUGAUGCCGUGGGCCCAGAGCCUGCUGUUCCUCCUUUUUAGAAUUCUAGCUCCUUUUGAGUUUCUAUAAUUGUAUAUUACAGAGAGUAUAGACGAAGGUAGCCCAGCACAAAUUUACAAUAAUAAAGUUCUAACUUACUGAGAAUAUAAACUUCCUUUCCUACAUAUUAAAACUUAAUAUAGUAGAUUGUAGUAUUUGUGGAGUACCUACUAGAGCCCCAAUGAUUUGCACAUUUUUUUUUAUUCUCUGAGAAACUCUAUUAACAGUUAUUAUCACCCUUUAUCCAUGUCUCAGAGAGGUUAAGAAACCUUGCAAAAGGACCACAGUAGUAAAUAGAGUAGCAAUUCAAACUAGAGGUUGCUACUCCAGAUGCUAUGUUUUUUCUAUUAAUAAUAAAAAGCUGUCUGCCUUACCAGAGCCAUAAGAAACUUACCUUUAGUUAGAAUUAAAUAUACCUCUUCUAGAAGUCCUCAUGUCUCAGAAGGCACCAGAGCAAUACAGAAAACAGACAUGUUAAAGGUGAACUGUGUUGGCAUUGUUUGUUAUGGCGCAGCCUGGGAAGAAGGCCACAUGCCUCUACUCAAGCUACAUGUUGCAGCACAGUGUAUAUGCCAACAUAGAGGACUCAUUAUUUCUCAGGGACCACACAAGACCCUAUAACACUGCCCCUCCGCCGUGCCAAACAUUAACCUCACCCUUAUGAAGGCCUCUGCUAUAGUCUGCCAAAGAAAGACAAGGUCAAGAAAACAAAAAUCACACUGUGCUGGGGUCUUUAGAGAGUGAACUCACAGGAAUCCCUAGGUUUCUUUUUGUUUCUCAUAUAUCUCAGGUGCUGGAGAAGCAUAGAAACUGGAACCACCAACGUGUGCAGCCAAAAAGAACCUCUUUAAUGGCUGUUCCCCUAGCCAGGGAACCAGAAAAAGAAUAGGUUAGCAGAAAGAAUACCUGGUUUACAAUGCCAAUCCUACUCUAGCCAAAUACCAAUGGAAAACUCUCUCCUCAGUUAUAGUAUCUGUGGGACUGAGCAGGGAGUUGAACUUUCAUCACACAACCAGUUGAUAGCAUUCUAAUUCCCCCACCAGAGUAGUGU
rnacentral:lncRNA from 1 species